rnacentral:lncRNA from 1 species
CCCGGACAUCGUGAUAGUCGACCCAUUCUACAUGUGUGCCAAGGUAUUGGGCAGCGCUGGGGACCGGCAAGUCGCGAGUUCAUACCUCGAAGGCGUCAUUCUGGCAAACCUAGAUAAGGAUAACUUCCUCGUGCCUUACUUUCCCGAGUAAGUCAUCUCCUCACUGCCCCGUAACAUAUGAUUUCUUAGAUUUCAAUCAUCUUUUUUAUAACAUUCCGUGUUUUGUGCAGUGACACACGUUGCACACUCAUCCUCUUAAGCCCGAACUAUUCCAUGACCACGUAUUUCGACUCGGACCGUCAGUCGAAUAAAUACUACACAAAUAUCAAGAAAGUUGAUGAUGUUCUCCCCGGCUACGCCAAAUCUGGAGGCACCUUCAGGAGGCCAAUUCUUAGGUACGGCAAGCACGUGUUCACCCAUGUAACGAUGUUCCCCUGCGUCAAGCAGCCGCCUGGCGGUCAGAAGGAUGCCUACUAUGCCCUCCAUCACAUGCGGGCGAUCGUACGGGACCAUAAUCAAACGUCUGCUACCAAAUAGUCUCAAAGAUUGGGCCGCACACUUGUCGGCAAUCUAGGACGCGGACGUCAGACAAGAAUUCUUUCGCAUCCAGUCGGAGUUUGCGGAAAUCAUCCAUCAAGAUGUCCUUCAUACCUCGGGGCAGUUCUACCUCAGAUAUCAAUCGUCCUACAGUGAAAUAGAAACAACGCUACAAAUGCAGGUUGACAACGAUCACGAUUUCAUGACCAUCAUGAAAGACGGCGGCUUCAUCCACGCUCCGGUCCCUGAGUCGAGUCGAAAGUAGUGAUGCUAUGUAGUUCUGAAAUAUCGAUUAGCUCAUGUUGUAAUUACACUUCAAUGAACUUGUAUGUCUCUUUGGUUUGGACAGUCAUUCAACUUAUAUGUAAUCGAUGCUAUUUAUUAGUAGGACCAUGAAUCGUGCUAUUAAUGUGUUGCUUUUCUCUUCCGAUCCUUUUGUUGCGUACUUAUAUAUUGCUUAUGUAUUGUCUGUGAAUUGCUACUAAUGUUUUGUUUGUCUAGUCAUAGAGAUGCCGUCGUAUGUCAUGUACAAGGGUAAGGUUCCCGAAGUCUACGACGACUGGGAGGAGUGUCGGACACAGGUUCACCGUUUCAGCGGUAACAGUUACAAAGGGUCCACCACUAGGAUGGAGGCGUAAGCUAGAUACACGCGCUAUCUAGCGGGAGAGAGGAGGGAGCAGAGGAGGAACCGGAUGAAGACUAGUUUCAUCGAGAUGAUGCUCAUCGUGAUGACCGCAUCUCUCUUCUAUGUGAUGGUAGUUUAGAUGAUCGAUAUCGACUUGUAAUGUGAAGACAAACUCGCUACUCGCGGUCUCGAGACUUGUAAUGUUCUGACUUUGUUCGCUCUUUUGAAUUCGGAGACUAAUAUGAUGAAUUGUAUUCGGAGACUAAUCUUCUAUUUGUAUUCGAUAAAUUUGAUGUUUAUAUGUUGUGCUGUCUAUAUUCUGUGCAGUAAUAUAUUUUGUAACCUGUGCAAAUAUCAGAAAAGAAAAA